UACAGAGGGUGCGAGCGUUAAUCGGAAUUACUGGGCGUAAAGCGUGCGUAGACGGUUCUGUAAGUCGGAUGUGAAAUCCCCGGGCUCAACCUGGGAAUUGCAUUCGAGACUGCAAAGCUUGGGUGCGGAAGAGGGAAGCGGAAUUUCCGGUGUAGCGGUGAAAUGCGUAGAUAUCGGAAGGAACAUCAGUGGCGAAAGCGGCUUCCUGGUCCAGCACCGACGUUCAGGCACGAAAGCGUGGGGAGCGAACAGG
rnacentral:rRNA from 1 species